CAGUCGCCACGGUAAUACGAGGGGGGCAAGCGUUGUUCGGAAUUAUUGGGCGUGAAGGGCGCGUAGGCGGUUUGGCAAGUUUGGUGUGAAAUCUUCGGGCUCAACUCGAAGUCUGCAUCGAAAACUGCCGGGCUUGAGUAUGGGAGAGGUGAGUGGAAUUUCCGGUGUAGCGGUGAAAUGCGUAGAUAUCGGAAGGAACACCUGUGGCGAAAGCGGCUCACUGGACCAUAACUGACGCUGAGGCGCGAAAGCUAGGGGAGCAAACAGGAUUAGAUACCCGCGUAGUCCCUGUCUCUUAUAC
rnacentral:rRNA from 1 species